AACUUUCACGAGCGAGCGCGGUCACGAAGCCCUGACGAGUAGGAGGGUCGCGGCGGUGAGCGCAGAAGGGCUGGCCGCGAGGCCGUCUGGAGCCGCCGUCGGUGCAGAUCUUGGUGGUAGUAGCAAAUACUCCAGCGAGGCCCUGGAGGACUGACGUGGAGAAGGGUUUCGUGUGAACAGCCGUUGCACACGAGUCAGUCGAUCCUAAGCCCUAGGCGAAAGCCGAUGUCGAUGCGGUGUAGUUUUUACGAUAGAUAGACAGACAGACAGACAGACGAAAUUCGACGACUACGACGAAAGAAACAUCAAUUCGUCGUCUAGUCGUCAUCGUCGUCGUAAGUCUAAUUAAUAACGCGAGAGCACACACCCGUCGGGCGAAAGGGAAUCCGGUUCCUAUCCG
rnacentral:rRNA from 1 species